rnacentral:tRNA from 1 species
GGGGUUGUGGCUCAGUGAUAGAGUGCUUGUAUCGCACAUUUGAGGCACUGGGUUCGAUCCUCAGCACCACA